rnacentral:rRNA from 1 species
CGACCCCAUCUCAUGCCCCGUACGCGGUGUGCAUGGACGGGGGUGAGGUGCGCCUCUUGAAAUGUCAAAACGACUCUCGGCAACGGAUAUCUCGGCUCUCGCAUCGAUGAAGAACGUAGCGAAAUGCGAUACUUGGUGUGAAUUGCAGAAUCCCGUGAACCAUCGAGUCUUUGAACGCA